CUCUUGUGCUUACACGUACAUUUCCAGCUCAGUUCUCAGUAAAACUGAAGUUUCUGCCAAGGAAAAUGUCCCGUGAACCACCAAUGCCUAUGGACGGUUUUCACACUGGAGCUUCCUAACCAGCUGACCUCUUAAGAGAGGGCUGUUACAACAGGUGACACAGGAAACUCAGGUGAGGGUGUGGAGAGACAGGAACUCAGGUGAGAGGUGGAGAGACAGGAACUCAGGUGAGAGAUGAUGGAGAGACAGGAAUUCAGGUGAGAGUUGGAGAGACAGGAACUCAGGUGAGAGUUGGAGAGACAGGAACUCAGGCGAGAGGUGGAGAGACAGGAACUCAGGUGAGAGAUGGUGGAAAGACAGGAACUCAGGCGAGAGGUGGAGAGACAGGAACUCAGGUGAGAGUUGGAGAGACAGGAACUCAGGCGAGAGGUGGAGAGACAGGAACUCAGGUGAGAGAUGGUGGAAAGACAGGAACUCAGGCGAGAGGUGGAGAGACAGGAACUCAGGCGAGAGGUGGAGAGACAGGAACUCAGGUGAGAGAUGAUGGAGAGACAGGAAUUCAGGUGAGAGUUGGAGAGACAGGAACUCAGGCGAGAGGUGGAGAGACAGGAACUCAAGUGAGAGAUGGUGGAGAGAUAGGAACUCAGGCGAGAGGUGGAGAGACAGGAACUCAAGUGAGAGAUGGUGGAGAGACAGGAACUCAGGCGAGAGGUGGAGAGACAGGAACUCAGGUGAGAGAUGGUGGAGAGACAGGAACUCAGGCGAGAGGUGGAGAGACAGGAACUCAGGUGAGAGAUGGUGGAGAGAUAGGAACUCAGGCGAGAGGUGGAGAGACAGGAACUCAGGUGAGAGAUGGUGGAGAGACAGGAACUCAGGCGAGAGGUGGAGAGACAGGAACUCAGCUGCUGCUUCUGAGCCAGCUUCCCAGGCCUCGGAUAGACCAGAGUUCGCUCAUCAUGCCGUCUCUUCAGUGACUGAUUACGC
rnacentral:lncRNA from 1 species